rnacentral:rRNA from 1 species
CCUACGGGAGGCUGCAGUGAGGAAUAUUGGUCAAUGGACGAGAGUCUGAACCAGCCAAGUAGCGUGAAGGAUGACUGCCCUAUGGGUUGUAAACUUCUUUUAUAUGGGAAUAAAAUGUUCCACGUGUGGGAUUUUGUAUGUACCAUAUGAAUAAGGAUCGGCUAACUCCGUGCCAGCAGCCGCGGUAAUACGGAGGAUCCGAGCGUUAUCCGGAUUUAUUGGGUUUAAAGGGAGCGUAGGUGGAUUGUUAAGUCAGUUGUGAAAGUUUGCGGAUCAACCGUAAAAUUGCAGUUGAAACUGGCAGUCUUGAGUACAGUAGAGGUGAGCGGAAUUCGUGGUGUAGCGGUGAAAUGCUUAGAUAUCACGAAGAACUCCGAGUGCGAAGGCAGUUCACUGGACUGCAACUGACACUGAGGCUCGAAAGUGUGGGUAUCAAACAGGAUUAGAUACCCGAGUAGUC